AUGGCGCAGAGGGCGCUGGAGCUGACCCUGAUAUCGGGCAAGGACCUCAAGGACGUGAACCUCUUCUCGGCCAUGGAGGUGUACGCCGUCGUCUCCCUCUCCGGCGACCCGCGCUCCCGCCAGCGCGUCGCCACCGACCGCUCCGGCGGCCGCAACCCGACCUGGAACGCCACGGUCCGCUUCACCGUCCCCGCUAGCGCCGCGGGGUCCGUCCACGUGCUGCUCCGCGCCGAGCGCGCCCUCGGCGACCGCGACGUCGGCGAGGUCCACAUCCCGCUCUCCGAGCUGCUCUCCGGCGCGCCCGACGGCCCCGUGCCGGUCAAGUUUGUGGCCUACCAGGUCCGCAAGAUCGGGUCCGGGAAGCCCCAGGGGGUCCUCAACUUCUCGUACAAGCUCGGGGAGGUGACACAGGGCCAGGCCGGUGGCGCCUACGGUGGUGCCCAGGCCGCGUACGCGCAGCCUCCCCCGGCCGCCGCCUACCCGCCGCAGGGCGCGUAUCCUCCGGCCGGCAAGGCCGACGCCUACGGGGCUCCGUCUGCCUACCCGCCGCCAGGUAACGCAUACCCGCCGCAGUCCGCGUACCCGCAGGCGGCGAAGGCCGACGGGGCAGCAACCGCUGGUGCCUACCCACCUCCCUCCGGCUACCCACCUGCCGGAAAGACGGGCGAGCCAUCCACCGCCUACCCCGCACCCGCCGGCUACCCACCCGCUGGUCCGUCAGGAAAGCCGGCGAAGGCAGGCGAGCCAGUGACGGCCUACCCAGCGGCCGCCGCGGGACCCAGCACCGGCGCUCCCUACGGCGCCCCGCCCCCGCAGUACGGCUACGGGUACCCACCGCAGCAGCCGGCCGGGUACGGCUACCCGCCCCCGCCUCCGCAAGGAGGGUACGGCGGCUACGGCUACCCGCCGCAGCAGCCGGCCGGGUACGGGUACCAGCAGCAGGCCGUGAAGCCGCCGAAGAAGAGCGGCAUGGGGAUGGGCCUCGGCGCGGGGCUCCUCGGAGGCGCGCUCGGCGGGCUCCUCAUCGGCGACAUGAUCUCCGACUCCGCCGGAGGGUACGACGGCGGCUACGACGGCGGGUUCGACGACGGCGGUGGCUUCGAUUUCUAG
rnacentral:rRNA from 1 species